rnacentral:rRNA from 1 species
AUUGAACGCUGGCGGCAUGCUUUACACAUGCAAGUCGAACGGCAGCGCGGGCUUCGGCCUGGCGUCGAGUGGCGAACGGGUGAGUAAUGCAUCGGAACGUGCCCAGUAGUGGGGGAUAGCCCGGCGAAAGCCGGAUUAAUACCGCAUACGACCUGAUGGUGAAAGCGGGGGAUCGAAAGGCCUCGCGCUAUUUGAGCGGCCGAGGUCGGAUUAGCUAGUUGGUGGGGUAAAGGCUUACCAAGGCGACGAUCCGUAGCUGGCCUGAGAGGACGACCAGCCACACUGGAACUGAGACACGGCCCAGACUCCUACGGGAGGCAGCAGUAGGGAAUUUUGGACAAUGGGGGAAACCCUGAUCCAGCCAUGCCGCGUGAGGGAAGAAGGCCUUCGGAUUGUAAACCGCUUUUGUUCGGGAAGAAAUCCUCUGGGCUAAUACCCCGAGGGGAUGACGGUACCGGAAGAAUAAGCACCGGCUAACUACGUG